rnacentral:rRNA from 1 species
GUCUAUGGCCAUACCACCCUGAAUGCUCCCAAUCUUGUCUGAUCUCGGAAGCUAAGCAGGGUCGGGCCUGGUUAGUACUUGGAUGGGAGACCACCUGGGCAUACCGGGUGCUGUAGGUG